AGCCUUGAGAUAGAGCCUAAAGCAGGAGUCCCCAGCCUCCAGGCCACAAUCCAUUCAGAACCCUACUUGGCCGAUUGUAAAGUUACAAAAAAUAUAUGAACAACGGGAAAAUAACAAACCAAUAAAAUGAAGGUAACUGAUAGCACAUACUAUGAUAAAGUACACAAUUAUCCCAGAAUACUCCACAUUCAACGUCGAAAAGGAAUUAUGAAAAUCUAAGCAUGCCUGAGAGAAAAGGGAUCUUGGCCGACAUGAAAAACAUAUCAAGGCGGCCGCCAGGUGUGAAUCCUUGGGGAAGUCAUUAUAUGAUAGUUUUGUUCCACUUGGUGCUUCCUGCUUUUUAAAAGUUGAUACUUGGUUCCAUUCUUUUGGGAUUUUCCAUGGCUGUGUUCUUAAUCUAUUGUAUUGAUGAAAUUGUUUUUUAAAA